UUCCAACUUUUUCUUGGAAUCCCAUUCCUUAAAAAAAACUUGGGGAAAGCCCUUUUGAUGGAGACCAAGAUGAGCAGCCAGCUAUGCAAGUCGAGAGGGUUUGAGUGCCAUUGGGACCAGUUACAUGAGCAUGAACCAAGCAGCUUUGUGAUACACUUCAAGGGUUGGUGCUUGCUGUCCAUGACCAAGUUAAUGUUCCAAAUAUCAUUGAAGGUCUUGAAAAUAAAGAUUUGAGGGUUGUUUAUCUCCUCCAAGUUAAGGAAGUUUCGGUUGAGUCAAUUGAAUUUCAUGAUUGAA
rnacentral:lncRNA from 1 species